rnacentral:siRNA from 1 species
GGUAAUUCGGGUGAAGAAGACAUC